CCUACGGGUGGCUGCAGUGGGGAAUCAUGGGCAAUGGACGCAAGUCUGACCCAGCAACGCCGCGUGAAGGAAGAAGGCUUUCGGGUUGUAAACUCCUUGUAAGGGGGAAGAGAAGAAGACGGUACCCAUUGAAUAAGCCACGGAUAACUACGUGCCAGCAGCCGCGGUAAUACGUAGGUGGCAAGCGUUGUUCGGAUGUACUGGGUGUAAAGGGCGCGCAGCCGGUGAGUCAAGUCAGGUGUGAAAGCCACGGGCUCAACCCGUGAACUGCAUUUGAAACUGUGUCCCUAGAGUGUCGGAGGGGUAAUCGGAAUUCCUGGUGUAGCGGUGAAAUGCGUAGAUAUAAGGAGGAACACCAGUGGCGAAGGCGGGUUCCUGGACGAUAACUGACGGUGAGGCGCGAAGGCGUGGGGAGCAAACGGGAUUAGAUACCCGGGUAGUC
rnacentral:rRNA from 1 species